rnacentral:rRNA from 1 species
UACGGGGGGUGCGAGCGUUGUCCGGAAUCACUGGGCGUAAAGGGCGCGUAGGUGGUCUGAUAAGGGUGUGGUGAAAGUCCGGGGCUCAACCCCGGAUCUGCCGUGCCGACUAUCAGACUCGAGGACUGUAGAGGCAGGCGGAAUUCCGGGUGUAGCGGUGGAAUGCGUAGAGAUCCGGAGGAAGACCGGUGGCGAAGGCGGCCUGCUGGGCAGUUUCUGACACUGAUGCGGCGGACAGCGUGGGGAGCAAACAGG